UACAGAGGUCUCAAGCGUUGUUCGGAUUCAUUGGGCGUAAAGGGUGCGUAGGUGGCGCGCUAAGUCAGGUGUGAAAUUUCGGAGCUUAACUCCGAAACUGCAUUUGAUACUGGCGUGCUUGAGGACUGGAGAGGAGACUGGAAUUCACGGUGUAGCAGUGAAAUGCGUAGAGAUCGUGAGGAAGGCCAGUGGCGAAGGCGGGUCUCUGGACAGUUCCUGACACUGAGGCACGAAGGCCAGGGGAGCAAACGGG
rnacentral:rRNA from 1 species